AAAGAGCUUAGCUAACAAACAAAGAUUCUGACAAUAAAUUUUGCUCACGUUUCCAUCAACCUCAAACACUGACAGGUCAUUUCUUCUGUAGAUUUCAUUGGCUGGAGGAUGAAACCAGCCACACUUCUUUGAAUGCCUUAACAAAAUGUUUUUACUUUUCAUAUAUUUAAGACAGAAUUCACACAGGUAAAGCUUUGGUAGUCUUGCAUAUUCCUGUGGGUAAGGUGAAGAGUACCACGUCUGGAUCUCAUAUUUUCCAAACUCAAUCACUGAAGGGUAUCGCCCACUUGUUUCACCAGUGUUUUUACACCCAAUUUUCUCCAGGGAAAGUUCCCGAGCCUGUUUAAAUACGUCCAAAUCCUCCUGCGUAACCGUGUCCUUGCUUCCCACCAGAUAUACAUCUGUGUUUUCUUGUUUGAUGCUUAGUUUGAUUUCAGUAUCUGUAGCCAACACAAGAGAAGUGCAUGACUGUUUCUGAGAGACCUUUUUCC
rnacentral:lncRNA from 1 species